CGCAAACGCAGCGGGUGGCUGGGGUAGGGGCUCAUUGGGAGCCCACGGAGCGCGGCGGCGGCUCGGGGGCCGAGUUCCCUACAACAAGGAUGGCGGUGACGGGCGCAGGGAGCGGGGCCCGGCUCUCCUUGCCUCGAGGCUCCUCUGAUUCCACUCGCGUGGCUGCGCGGCCCUGGCAGCGGCCUUCGUCCCGGGGGUGGGAGCUACACAGGGUUCCGCCCCGUCCUGGCGAGGACGCCUGAGGGGGCUCUGUGAUAAAGAAAUGGGGGCUCCGAGCAGUCAAGAAGAACAUGCCCCAAGUUAUUCGUCAGUGAGGCGGAAAUUGUGGUGUACUUGUGGCUGCAAUCAAGAUGUUGGCAUGGCUGGGGUCUCAUCUGAAGGCUGGACUGGAGAAGAAUCUACUUCCAAACUUAUGUGGUAGUUGGAAGAAUUUAGUUCCUCAAGGCCGCUAAACUGAUGGCCUGUGUUCCUUGCCUAUGGGAUGGUAGCUUGCUUCAACAAAGUGUGCAAGCAGAGAAGACAGAGAGUCCGCUAGCAAGAUAGAAGCCACAAUCUCUUGUAAUCUAUCAUUUUUGCUGUAUUCUACUGGUUAAAAAUAACUCAUUAGGUUAGCCUACUGGCUCUCAAGGGGAAGAGAUUAUACAAAGGCAUGAAUUUCUGGAGGAGGGAAUGAGGGCAAAGAAUUCUGAGAAGUCUGUCUUCCACAAUCUGAAGAACUUCUAGAAAGUAGGAGGAAGCGAUAUUGCUUAGGGAUGGACAACUUGGCACUGGUUAUGUAUUUCAAGUGAGGUAACCUUGUUCCCAAGAAUAAAGAGAACCAGACGACUGUAAACAUUUCCCUAAACUGAAAUGCAGACUGUUGUAUGUUCCCCUGAAAUGAAUGGUGUAAGCUGAAUAUAAGAUUUUUGACAAAAAUUUUGCUGUGUUCUCAGAUCUGGCAGGCCCCUGCCCUUGUGCAAACAAUGUUCCUGGCAGCUAUUCAUCUCCUUAGGUAAAUAAGAAUUGGAGAAAAGCUGUGCUAAGAUAGGAUGCAUUUGCUCUUGCCUUGGAAGGUUGUUUUCUGAUAAGGUUCUAUAUCCUCAGCAAAUCAAAUCAGGCACUUACAGUGUGAGUAUGCAUUCUCUGCCUGCCAGUCUGGAGAUGAUCAAAAAGCCUAUAACAGGCUUGGCCUAUUUUCCUAUUGGGUUGCUGGGCUUUUUUUUCGUCUUUAUUUACUUGUAGAGAGUUUUAGACCUCUGUGUAUGUAUGGUGUACAAGUGACAAUAUUCAGAUCUGUAAACUGUAACACAGUCUGGGAGCAAAGAAGAUAUAGAAAAAUGACUUUUACUUCCUGCUUGAGUAGUAAAAUUGAGAUUCAAAUUUUGCAUAUAGAAGUACUAUAUGGCUAACUUAUUUGGGGAGCAAAACUGACUUACCAUAAGUCUACCUGAAAUAGAAAUGAAACACUCAAUUUGUGAAAUAUGCUGAGUUUUAAUGUGUGUGGGGGCAAGGUGAAUUAACAUUUGUGAUGCAAGGAGAGGAGCAAUCUAUACUUACCAGUGUCUAUUUGACAUUGUUUGGGGACUACUGUUACACUCUAAGUCACUUUACCUUAUAACGCAGAGUUGUAACACGCUACUCUGAGCAGCUCAUGACAUCUGCUUGAAAUUUAAGUUGGGCCCCUAAUAUGUGUUAAUUAUAAGGACUUUGAUGUUGCUUUUCCGAGUUGGGUAACCUACUUUACCCCCUAAGCUAAUGUUUCCCAAAUACACCCAAACCCACAGAAAGGAAAACUAUUCCUCAUUAACUUACAGCCAACAUCAUAAACAUUUUAUAUCUAGAGCUGAUGAUACAGUCAGGUAUUUACCAACACUCAUGUAUAUAUGUAGAGUUUCAAGAAAUAAUUGCUUACCCUUACUAGAUGCAACAUAUUCUAAUGUUUGACAUAUUAUUUUUAUUUCUUAAUUUUUUUUUAAAGAUGGGGUUUUACUCUGUUGUCCAGGCUGAAAUGCAGUGGCAUGACCAGGAUUUCGACCAGAAGUUUGACUGCAGCCUCGAACUCCUUAUAACAAACAAUCCUGCUGCCUUAGCCUCCUGAGUAGCUAGGACUAUGGACACAUGCCACCAGAUCUGGGAUAUUUUAAAAUUUUUGCAGACAUAGGGUCUCGCCAUGUUGCCCAGGCUGAUUCUGAACUCCUGUUCUCAAGCAAUCCUCCUGCCUGGUCUUCCCAAACUGUUGGGCUUACAGGUGUGAGUCACUGAGCCCAGCUUGUAUUCUUUUGAUUUUAAAAAAAUAUUCUGAAUGUGAUCCACCAAAUUAAUUUCACCAUCCACUAAUAGGUAGCAACCUGAAUGAAAAAUACUGUUAUAAACUUUACACAAAACCAGAGAUUAUAAACAUUUGCCUCCAAGGAGAUGAGAGAGGCAAAAGGUACUUGUUUGCUCUGAUGGGCCCUGUUUCCUUCAGUGCCAGGAAGAGUGGCUCUCAGAUCUUUCUUCUGGCAUCCCUCAUGUAUGCAGUGUUGGUUAUUAUUUUCAAGGCCUUGGUAACAAAAUGCCCCUAGUGUGACCAGUCAGACUGACAGUCCAUAUCUGUAAUAUGGUGGUAAGUUUCCUUUGCAUGUCUUUCUUUCUUGCAUCUUAGACCUUUUACCUAGGAAAUUUUCUUUUUGCUUAAAGUACAUCAUUAAGAAUUUUCAAUGAAGGCAGAUUCUUAAAGUUUUUGUUUUCCAGAAGAGAUCUUGGAAAAUAUAAAAGGUUGGCAGUUAUUUCUUUUAGUACAUGAGAUAGUAUUACACCAAUGCUGUUGAGAAGUCUAUUGUGAGGCAAUGUGUCUUCUUUCUCUGGCUGCUUUUGAGAUUUCUCUCUGUCUUUUUUAGGGGCAGUUUUACUCUUAUGUGACUAGAAGUAGAUUUCUUCUUUUUUUUUUAAUACUGCUUGAGAUUUUAUUGGGUUUUUGAAUCUGUGGAUAUCCUUCAACAGUUCUGAAAGAUUUCCAGCCAUUCUCUUCAUAUAUUAUCUGUGCUGUAUUCUUUUCUCUCCUUUUAGAACUUCAAUUAGUAAAAACAUGUUUGAUGUCUUUUCCCACUAUUGUUUUUUGUUUCUCCCAUGCUGAAUUCUGUGUAAUUUCUUUUGAACUAUCUUGUAGUUUACAUUCUUUUUUUUUUUUUUUUGAGACAGGGUUUUGCUCUUGUUGCUCGGGCUGGAGUGCAAUGGCACCAUCUCAGCUCACUGCAACCUCUGCCUCCCGGGUUCAAGCGAUUCUCCUACCUCAGCCUCCCAAGUAGCUGGGAUUACAGGCAUGUGCCACCACGCCCGGCUAAUUUUUGUAUUCUGAGUAGAGACGGGGUUUCACCAUGUUGGCCAGGCUGGUCUAGAACUCCUGGGUGAUCUACCCUCCUCAGCCUCCCAAAGUGCUGGAUUACAGGUGUGAGCCACCGUGCCAGGCCUUACAUUCUCUCUCUUUAAGAGAGAAUGUAAGGUAUCUAAAUCUGCUGCUAAACCAUCAUUGUUUUUAAUUGUAAUAAGGUCUCUUUUAUGUACUCACAUUGAUAAGAGACAAGUAGUAAAUAAUCUUUAAAGGGCAAACUAAUUUAAAUGUGUUUUCCUGUCUGUUUACAGGACUUAGCAAAUGCACAUCUUAGAGUUCUGGGUUUCUAAUGUGUAUCUCCUCUAUGAAAUUCUUUAAAAAUAUCUGUUCUUGGUAUCCCUUAGGUUAGUCUCUUUUAGAACUUCUAAAUCAAUGGACCCUUAACUUAUAGGAGCCACCUGGACGUUAGCAACAUCUACAUUAAACAUGCUGAGCUUUUAAAAGAGGCCUGUUAGACAUGCUGAGUAUUUUGAGAUAAUAUCAUUGUUGUAUUGAAAGCUAUUGAAAACUUUAAUUUUAAAAUGCAAACGUUCUUAAAGUCCUGGUUGAUUUUAUAACUAUAAAAUUAGUUAUAAUUUUGAGAUUUCUGUCUUGUUUUUUUAUAGGGGCAGUUUUACUCUUAGGUAACUAGAUUUCUUCUUUUUUAUAAUCAUAAAAUUAGGUUUACUUUUGUUAGAAU
rnacentral:lncRNA from 1 species